GGAAAAUUCCUUCAAAAUUUUCCGGUUGCGUUGUUCUUGCUGUUGGAACCAGUGUAGAACAAGUCUCUGAAAACUGCGAGAGAGUAUACAUGGCAUUCUUUCUGCAAGAUUGGCCCGAUUAGCCUGUUCGACGAAAAACAUUUAUUAUGGUCAUCGAACGGGUUUAAUGGGAGAUGGUCAAUUCAUCGUCCAUGAGGGAUUUAUUAGACGGGGAUGGUUCAUGGCGAGAGUGAAAAUGGUGACAUGGUGGCGCUCGUCGGCGUGCUAUCGUAGCAGGUUGGGCUUCUUCAUUGACACCAUGAUAGAAGAAGUGAGAUGGUGUAUAAAACAGACCAGUUGCUCGAUGGACAAAAAAUUGUACAUCACUUCAUUGCUUGGCUCACUUUUUGAAUCCAAGAGCCAUAUCUUCUCUGGAUAGACAAACUGCUCUAAGAGAAGAAGAGGAAAGAGAAGAAGAAGAAGAAAACACCGGUUGAGCUGCUUUGAAUUUCUGAAACCUGGUCUGCAAGAGAGAAGAAGAAAAAAUUUCCAGAACCUGCUGCUUCUUGUCUCUAAUGCUUCAGCACUUCAAUCUACUAAGAAGAAGAAGAAGAAGAAGAAGAAUUGGGGGCUGCUGAUUUGUGAAGAUGCAGAGAGCUUCUGGUUCAAAGACAAAGGCUCUCUCACUGGUUUGAAUAUGCUGAGAGGUCUGCCUAGGCUCAAAGUGAAAAAUAGAAGUAAUUUUUUUCUUUUUCGGAAAAAAAAGGUAAAAAGCAAAAGGGUAAAAGGUAGCAUGAUCGAGGUAUGACUCACUUUGCCUCUUGCCUUCAGUUGCCUCAUUGGUUGGACCUACCUGCACUGCUAGUUCGUGAAGAUGCAGAGAGCUGCUGGUUUGAAGAUGAAGGCUCACGAACCAACUGGUUCGAAGACAAAGGCUCUUUCACUGGUUUGAAUAUGCAGAGAGGUCUGCCUAGGGCUCAAAGUGAGAAAUAGAAGAUUUUUUUUUUUUUUUGAAAAAGGUGAAAACCAAAAGGGUAAAAGGUAGCAUGAUCGAGGCACAACUCACUGUGCCUUUGCCUUUAGUCAUCUCAUUGUGGGAGAUUGGAGGAGAUACUUGGGAUGAGCCAUUUGGAUGUACAGAGGACCAUUUAAGAUAAAUUGUGUUUCCAUGAGAUGUGUGAAUCAAUCUUAUGUGAUUGCUACUUCCAUGAAGGUUGACAUCCCUGGGGUGAAUGUUGACAAGUUUGAUGACAAGUAUUUUGCAAAAGAAGUUGAGAAGAAGAAAAAGACGGGAGAAAGUGAGUUUUUUGAAGCAGAAAAAUAGGAAAAGGAUGUGCUCCCACAAGAGAAAAAGGAUGAUCAGAAAGCUGUUGAUACACCAUUAACAAAAUCCAUUGAGGGAGUUCCAGACUUGAAAACGUAUUUGGCUGCUGGGUUUUCUCUCAAGGCCAGCAUGAAACCUCGUGAGCUUGUCUUCUAAAGGAACAGCAGUUCUAAAAUGCUGAUGAGUCAGUUCUUAUGCUUUCUUAUUUUUCUGCUUCGUCUGAGAUUAAUCUUGAGCUGUACUUUAUGAUUUUCAUUGGUGAUAAAAAAUAUUUAAAAUUUCAUUAGGCCAGGCAAUUUUCUGUGCAACUGUUUUUUUUUCUCUUGUUUAUCUUUUGAUAAUAUUUUUUGGAUUAUAUUAUUUAGAGUCCAAAUAAGAUAUAUAAAGUUUUUGUUCUUUUAGUAGGAAA